GAGGCUGUAGACUGGUUCCUCCUUUUCUUAUUUUUCUUUCCUGUUUCCCUCGGAGGACGGCAGGAAUCAGCACAGCAUCACCCGUCGAGGGUGGGGUGGCCCCAGCCCACCCGCCCGCCAGCCGGAGACCAAGGAUGGAGGCAUGGCAGGGUCUCUUCUGUCUCACCUUCCUCUGCUUUCUGCUGCACGUCCGAGGGGAGUAUGGUGACUUUGAUUUGGCCGACGCUCUCGACGACCCCGAGCCCACCAAGAAGCCAAGCUCAGGUGAGUGACUUCCUGACUCAGGUGAGUGGACAGAGAUGAGGCUGCCCCACCACAAGCUGAGGUUUUGGAAGGAGUUUUAUGGGGUCUUCCCAGGAUGCUCCGUGGUCAAAAAUCCGCCUGCCAGUGCAGCAGACAUGAGUUCCACCCCCGGGUCGGGAAG